rnacentral:rRNA from 1 species
CCUACGGGGGGCAGCAGUGGGGAAUAUUGCACAAUGGGGGAAACCCUGAUGCAGCGACGCCGCGUGAGUGAGGAAGUAUUUCGGUAUGUAAAGCUCUAUCAGCAGGGAAGAAAAUGACGGUACCUGACUAAGAAGCCCCGGCUAACUACGUGCCAGCAGCCGCGGUAAUACGUAGGGGGCAAGCGUUAUCCGGAUUUACUGGGUGUAAAGGGAGCGUAGACGGAAUUGCAAGUCUGAUGUGAAAAUCCGGGGCCCAACCCCGGAAGUGCAUUGGAAACUGUAUUUCUAGAGUGUCGGAGAGGCAAGUGGAAUUCCUGGUGUAGCGGUGAAAUGCGUAGAUAUAAGGAAGAACACCAGUGGCGAAGGCGGAUGACUGGACGGCAACUGACGGUGAGGCGCGAAAGCGUGGGGAGCAAACAGGAUUAGAUACCCGGGUAGUC